GACGAACGCUGGCGGCGCGCCUAACACAUGCAAGUCGAACGGAGUCAAGAGGAGCUUGCUUUUCUUGACUUAGUGGCGAACGGGUGAGUAACGCGUGAGUAACCUGCCCUGGAGUGGGGGACAACAGUUGGAAACGACUGCUAAUACCGCAUAAGCCCACGGAUCUGCAUGGAUCUGCGGGAAAAGGAUUUAUUCGCUCUAGGAUGGACUCGCGUCCAAUUCGCUAGUUGGUGAGGUAACGGCCCACCAAGGCGACGAUUGGUAGCCGGACUGAGAGGUUGAGCGGCCACAUUGGGACUGAGACACAGCCCGGACUCCUACGGGAGGCAGCAGUGGGGGAUAGUGCAAAAUGGCGGAAACGCUGAUGCAGCGACGCCGGGUGGAGGAAGAAGGUUUUCGGAUUGUAAACUCCUGUCGUUAGGGACGAUAAUGACGGUACCUAACAAGAAAGCACCGGCUAACUACGUG
rnacentral:rRNA from 1 species